GCCUCGGUAGCUCAAUUGGUAGAGCAGUAGACACUUAAUCUAAAGACGCCGGUUCAAAUCCGGCCUGAGGCA